UUCCCUUCCCCUCCCCUCUUCCCUUUCUCUUCCCACCCACGGUCCCUUGGAAACUUUCGAGAGUCAACUUUGUCCCUCCGGCUCCCGGCAGCUCCUCCUCCUCCUCCUCCCCCGGGACAGUUUCGCAGGAUUCCUGUCACAAAUCUGGGCUGAAACUGUAGAGGAUGAAGUAUUUGCAGAGUUCAGCCAUAAGGAAUAGAUCGACGAGGUUAGGCACACAUACGCAAGUACGUGCAGAUGAGAGACGAUCUGAUGUGCUUUCUAUCAGAAAGAGUAAUCUUGUUUAUACGCAGAUGAAACAAGCAUGAUGAGUGAAAGCACGCAGCUUGCCCAAAGUCUGGGGGUCUUGGAGGAUGUAAGAAAGAGUGCGAAUUAAUCACGUGCAAUUUUAAACAGAAAAGAGAGACAUGGCUUUCUUACAGCUGACUUAUGGAAAAAGCACAAGAAGAAUCUGUUUACAUCUUUCACCGUGAAUUCUUUUCAUAGAGAAAAGUGCCUACUAGAGAUAAAAUGCUGAAAGAAUCACUUAAAUAAUCAGAGAUGCCAAAGACAACUGUAUCAUAUGAUUUUAAAAAGUUGCCCUGGAUCAUUCACUUAUGUGUUUAAAAAUAACAACAACAAAAAGUCUUUUUUGAUGUUUCUUUUGCCCUUGAGGAAUGAUGCUUCAUCAUCCUCUGUAAACUCCAUUAUGAGAGUAAACCAUCACUUUGAGGGCGCUGGCAUGUCACUCUUGCCCAUGUUUGUAAUUCAUUAGCAGUUUUUGUCAGUAGGGCUUUUUGCAGCAACUCACAAGAACACAUCAUUCUCCUAGUUAAGUUAAUUUUCUUCAUAGAGGUGUAUAGAAUGCUGUGUUUGGGAUUUUUUAUGAAGGUGUUGAUGAUAACAUAUGAAAACAUACUGAUGUUUUUUGGUUGUUGCAGAACACUGAUUGCACAGUCAAGGAUUUUUCAGCUUCUCAUGCUGCCCUGCCAGUGAGGAGGCUGGGGUUGCACAAAGAGCUAGCGGGGAGGAGACACAAGUUGGACAGGGAACCCAGAAUAACCAGAGGGAUGUCCCACACCAUAUGGUGUCAUGCUCAGCAAUACAAGCUGGGGUAAAAAAGGAGGGGGACAUUCAGAGUGAUGAUGUUUGUCUUUCCAAGAAACCAUGACAUGAUGAGCCCUGCUUUCCUGGAAGUGGCUGAACACCUCCCUGUCAAUGGAAAGUAGCAAACGAAUUCCUUGUUUUUCUUUGCUUGUACACCACAGCUUUGCUUUACCUAGUGAACUGUCUUUAUCUCAACCCACAAGUUCUCACACUUUUGUGAGAUGUGGUGAGAGACCACAUCCCAGCUGGGGAGAGUGAGAGAGCAGCUGGGUGGUGCUUAGCUGUCUGCUGGGGUUAAACCACAACAAUACAUAAUUAACAAUACAUAAUUAAGGAUUAUUAAAAAAGCAUGUUGUCAGAGUUGUUGAACAAAAUACUAGAAGUGAAAGAACUGGUGCACCUUGGAUAAUAGUGUUUUCAGCACCUCAAAUGCAUGUGAGGAAAUGAAGAUAUGAGAGGAAAACUCAGAUGAAGGUGGAAAAAUGGACCCCCUUAGCAGCAUAAAUGACAAAGCUCAUUAAAAGAAUCCUUUUAAUUAAAUUUAAUUAAAAGAAUUAAAAGAAACCUGCUAUGAUCAGACCUUUUUGGAGGGUUCUGGGUACAAAACAUCCAAAGUACAGAAAGAUGUGUUUUUAAAGGAGUGAUGUCACAAUUACUGAAAAAGCAGUAAGUCAGUUAAUUAGAUAUCUCACAGGUCAGUUGCCUUAGAAACAUCACAGAAUGGUUGAGGUUGGAAGGGACCUCUGGCGGUCACCUAAUCCAAUGCCCCUGUUCAAGCAGGGUUACUGAGAGCAGGCUGCCUAGGACCAUGUCCUUUUUUUUGAAGACUCCAAGGACAGUGAGAGGCUCGAUUGAUAUACAAGGGGGGCAUGCAAAGGUUUUCUUUGUUUUAUGGUAGACAAAACCUUUUCAUCUAACCAAACCAACGUCACUCGACACAAAAUCCAUAUUUAAGUGAAAAUAUUGAGAUUAACGGCUCACCAUUUAGGUGAUGUUUGGAGCUGAGCUGUCUUUUGCUGAGGAGCUUUUAUAUGUGAGUAACGUAGAAACUGAUUAAUUCCUGAGCUGAGGAGUCCCCCAGGUGAAAUCAUUCUCUUUCCCAGAACAGCUGUUUUCACAUGGGCCAUAAACCUUUAUUGACUCCUUGACAUUUUUUUAUUUCAUCUUCCUUUCUUAGUGAACUUUUCCUUUCCUUUAAUCAUUUUAAUCCUUUCCUUUAAUCAUUUGCUUUGAUAGUUUCUUCAUAUUAGUUUCUCUGACACUCUUCACAUUCACGUCUUUUUUUUUUUUUAAUCACUUUUUCUACAUCUGAGCAGCCACAAAUAUUUUGCAUCAUUAUCUGAAUGUUCUCAUAGCUAAAUAUUGGGAGGUGAUGUUCUGAUGUCUCUGCUGCCUCUAGCUGACAGAAGCAACAGGUCAGUGGGUGACUCUACUGUUCUGCAUGCAGGGAACAGCAGGAGUGUUUGAAGAGUGGAUUAUCUCUUGGCAGCAGUAACACUCCUUUGCUCUCCUGUUUCCUUCCAACUCCAUUUGUCCUUAUGGAAAUGGAUGUUUACGAGGCCUGGAUAACCACCUUAAUGACAAAGAGUCCUGCGUGCUGAUUAGCAGGUGGCUUUGAACAUCGGUCCAGAGACACGGAUCACUUGUAGGUACUCCUCUGUCAUGUUCAAAGGACUAGGAAGCCACAAAGUUUUCCACAGCUUCUUGCCUAGUCUUCUGGAACUCCUUAUAGGAAAACCAAGAUGCUUGGUAAAAUAGAAAGUUCAGAUUUAAAGCGAACUGCUCAGUAUCUACGUGGACAGAGAUGUCGCGUCAGCUUUAUGACAGACUGACUUAGACUGAGUAGUCUGAAGUGACACAAUGUGAACCAGUUCAAACCAGCAUCCUCAGUGGGGUUCCUCAUUACAACACCAGCCGUGAACUGGAGAAGUGCUAGGCCAUGUAGGAGAAGGAGCAAUCUGGCUAAGGAGCCGAGCUGCUUCACAGCCCUGCAGUUUAUUUGCAUCUAUAUGGCAGGAUGAAUCCUGAGCGGUGCAGUCCCGUGGAGCAGGAUCAGAUGGACCCUCCUGGGGCAGGGUCAAGCUCCACAGCUCCCCCCGACAGCAAGUUGUGUGGCAGGAGGAGAGAGAUGUUUCAAAGACAAACUAUACUAAUGAAGAAUAACAGUUUUAGAUCUGCAUCUGUUGAGAUUCAAUUGCAACAGAAGUGUCAUUAGUGCUAAUUAUACAAGAAGAGUUACAGAAAAAUGUGGAGAGUACAUAGAGCGUAGAAAACAACCAAUUCUAAAGCUGCAGAUAACUCACCUUCCCCUGGCACAUGCUCGCCCAUCUCAGCGUGAAGCACUGAGGCAGGCAGAAGCUGCAGUAGCGGGAUGCUCGCCGUCCUUUGCUUCCAGCAGACGGAUGCACACCACAAGGCUGUGGAGUGCUUUUGGCCCAUCCAGACUGCCUGGUGUACUUCAAACUACACCCCAGGAGAUGCAGCUCCUUUCUUUACAAGGCUGUUAGUCUGAACUAUCAUGCUGCACUGUACAAAACUGAUUUUGGUAGCAGUAAAACAGAUGUAUAUUAUUUCAUCGUAAUGUACAGUAUAAAGUGUAGGAUAAGGUACUAUUUGCUGAAGAACUUUGUCAUUGAAAACAAAUUGCUCAGUAAUGUCCAAGUUCCAGUGUUCAUGCAAAGCUAAGCCUCGUUAUAACAUGAAAGAAUAUUCUAAUUGCAAUACAGUAAGUACUCUUCCAAAAAAAAACCAUCAUACAUUGCAACAACAGUCUACUGCUGCAGUCUAAUCCCCACGCGGUAGGUGUUGCUGCAGACAAGAAAUACAUGUAGCACUUCCUUUUGUACAGCUAAUUUUUUAUUGUUAAAUAAUGAACUUUGUAACGGAAUAAACUAUUAAGAAAUUAAACCAAACAGCUAAGGCAUUUGACAUGUUUUACAGUCACUGGGAUGGUGUCACUGUUUGGAUAUACCUUACCUUUCAGGAAAAGUGUAAAUCAGGAAACAGUUUUAAGGCUUUUUGCUACUCCAGAGAUUAAUUAUUCAGUUAUGACAAAUGAAAUACUGAAGGGCACUGCUCAAGUCUUACUGUAAAUUGUUUUUGUUUUAUGACUGUGUCUUCAGAGCGAAGAUUUUCUGUUGCUCCCAAAUCACUCAACUUAACUAUGCCACUAUUCAUGUCUAAUUAAAAAAAAAAAACUACCAAAGACAAUCUAAUUUCUAUUCUGGGUCAACACCAUGCUGACACAAAGCCAGGAAUACACAGCAGCACUGUGCUCUCCUACUUAUUUGCAGUCAGGAGGGCUCCAUCAACCACGAGCUGGGCUGACCUGAAUAAUGAAAGCUUACAACACACGCAUAGCUUUUGCUGUUUGGCAGUCAACUAGCACUAUUAUACCAUUAUGUUCUGAUGCC